GCUCGCCUAGCUCAACGGUCAGAGCUACGGACUCAUAACCCGCAGGUUCCCGGUUCGAAUCCGGGGGCGAGCA
rnacentral:tRNA from 1 species